GACGUAGGGUCCAAGCGUUGUCCGGAUUUACUGGGCGUAAAGAGCGCGUAGGCGGUCUGUUAAGUGAGAAGUGAAAUCUCCAGGGCUCAACCCGGAAACUGCUUUUCAUACUGGCAGACUUGAGGGAUGCAGAGGUGAAUGGAAUUCCUGGUGUAGCGGUGAAAUGCGUUGAUAUCAGGAGGAACACCCAUGGCGAAGGCAGUUCACUGGGCAUCAUCUGACGCUGAGGCACGAAAGCGUGGGGAGCAAACAGG
rnacentral:rRNA from 1 species